rnacentral:rRNA from 1 species
CCUACGGGAGGCAGCAGUGAGGAAUAUUGGUCAAUGGUCGGGAGACUGAACCAGCCAAGCCGCGUGAGGGAGGAAGGUACAGAGUAUCGUAAACCUCUUUUGUCAGGGAACAAAGGCGGGGACGUGUCCCCGGAUGAGUGUACCUGAAGAAAAAGCAUCGGCUAACUCCGUGCCAGCAGCCGCGGUAAUACGGAGGAUGCGAGCGUUAUCCGGAUUUAUGGGGUUUAAAUGGUGCGCAGGCGGUCUGUUAAGUCAGCGGUCAAAGCCCGGGGCUCAACCCCGGCCCGCCGUUGAAACUGGCAGUCUCGAGUUGGAGAGAAGUAUGCGGAAUGCGCGGUGUAGCGGUGAAAUGCAUAGAUAUCGCGCAGAACUCCGAUUGCGAAGGCAGCAUGCCGGCUCCACACUGACGCCGAGGCACGAAAGCGUGGGUAUCGAACAGGAUUAGAUACCCUAGUAGUC